rnacentral:pre_miRNA from 1 species
UCCAGCUGUGUGGCAUUGUACUUGAAAUUAAGUACAUGCAACCUCAGUUGGAGUCGGA